GCCAUCCUCGGUAUCUAACUGGCCGUUCUUGGUUUCGGUGGCAUCUUUCUGUUCAGUUUCUUUUGAUUCUACAUCUUCCUUAUUGGCCUCUUCAUCCUUGGUAGUUUCAAUUUCUCUGUCUUUUGUUUCAUCUACUUUUUUAGGCUCUUCAUCCUUGGAAGUUUCAGUUUCUUUUUCUUCUUUCUCAUCUUCAUUUUUAGGCUCUUCACCCUUGGCAGUUUCAAGUUCUUUUUGUGUUGUUUCAUCUUCUUUGUUAGGUUCUUCAUCCUUGGAGUUCUCAUUAUCUUUUUCAAUUUCAGUAUUGUCCUUCUCAGACAUUUCAGCAUCUUUAAUUUCACUUUCCUUUUC
rnacentral:lncRNA from 1 species